GACGAACGCUGGCGGCGUGCCUAAUACAUGCAAGUCGUACGCUUCUUUUUCCACCGGAGCUUGCUCCACCGGAAAAAGAAGAGUGGCGAACGGGUGAGUAACACGUGGGUAACCUGCCCAUCAGAAGGGGAUAACACUUGGAAACAGGUGCUAAUACCGUAUAACAAUCGAAACCGCAUGGUUUUGAUUUGAAAGGCGCUUUCGGGUGUCGCUGAUGGAUGGACCCGCGGUGCAUUAGCUAGUUGGUGAGGUAACGGCUCACCAAGGCUACGAUGCAUAGCCGACCUGAGAGGGUGAUCGGCCACAUUGGGACUGAGACACGGCCCAAACUCCUACGGGAGGCAGCAGUAGGGAAUCUUCGGCAAUGGACGAAAGUCUGACCGAGCAACGCCGCGUGAGUGAAGAAGGUUUUCGGAUCGUAAAACUCUGUUGUUAGAGAAGAACAAGGAUGAGAGUAACUGUUCAUCCCUUGACGGUAUCUAACCAGAAAGCCACGGCUAACUACGUGCCAGCAGCCGCGGUAAUACGUAGGUGGCAAGCGUUGUCCGGAUUUAUUGGGCGUAAAGCGAGCGCAGGCGGUUUCUUAAGUCUGAUGUGAAAGCCCCCGGCUCAACCGGGGAGGGUCAUUGGAAACUGGGAGACUUGAGUGCAGAAGAGGAGAGUGGAAUUCCAUGU
rnacentral:rRNA from 1 species